rnacentral:rRNA from 1 species
CGCGACCCCAGGUCAGGCGGGAUCACCCGCUG